AUUGAACGCUGGCGGCAGGCUUAACACAUGCAAGUCGAGCGGAGCGAGGGUGCUUGCACCUUAGCUUAGCGGCGGACGGGUGAGUAAUGCUUAGGAAUCUGCCUAUUAGUGGGGGACAACAUUCCGAAAGGAAUGCUAAUACCGCAUACGCCCUACGGGGGAAAGCAGGGGAUCUUCGGACCUUGCGCUAAUAGAUGAGCCUAAGUCGGGUUAGCUAGUUGGUGGGGUAAAGGCCUACCAAGGCGACGAUCUGUAGCGGGUCUGAGAGGAUGAUCCGCCGCACUGGGACUGAGACACGGCCCAGGCUCCUACGGGGGGCAGCAGUGGGGAAUAUUGGACAAUGGGCGGAAGCCUGAUCCAGCCAUGCCGCGUGUGUGAAGAAGGCCUUUUGGUUGUAAAGCACUUUAAGCGAGGAGGAAGCUACUUAGAUUAAUACUCUGGGGUAGUGGACGUUACUCGCAGAAUAAGCACCGGCUAACUCUGUGCCAGCCGCCGCCGUAA
rnacentral:rRNA from 1 species